rnacentral:rRNA from 1 species
UACAGAGGUCUCAAGCGUUGUCCGGAUUUAUUGGGCGUAAAGAGCGUGUAGGCGGCCAGGUAGGUCUGCUGUGAAAACUCGAGGCUCAACCUCGAGACGUCGGCGGAAACCAUCUGGCUAGAGUCCGGAAGAGGAGAGUGGAAUUCCUGGUGUAGCGGUGAAAUGCGCAGAUAUCAGGAAGAACACCAAUGGCGAAGGCAGCUCUCUGGGACGGUACUGACGCUGAGACGCGAAAGCGUGGGGAGCGAACAGG